UUGAUCUCUCCUCAUCGCAGGUCCGUGCAACAUCACUACUGCAGGGUGGGUGGCGCUGCGGAGCAUGGGAGGCCUUGAAUGGCAUGGACGUCAGGAACAUGAGCAUGCCAUCGUGAUCACCCGCAUCAGCAGACAGAUGAUGAGUGACAGAGUGGAGGUCCUUACGUCCUGCUGUUGCUGCUGGCGUCGCCUCGUCACAGGAUCAGUAUGGGACGAUUGGGAAGGGACGGAGACGAGUGGUGACCCCACAAUCAAGCUGUACGUGAGUGGCACUGUCUACAUUAGAAAGUUUUUCCAGCUCAUACCGGCAGCGGGAGGCCGUACCGCUGCGGGAUAUGUUUACAAUCACAUGGGAACACCAACGUCUCCAGAAACAUUACAAACAUAUGCAUUUGAGCAAAGUCUGAAAUGUUACAUCAUUCAUUAUUUUUUUCAUGUUUAUAAACAUAUUAUCUUCUAUAAAAAAAUAAAUAAAUAAAAAUAAAAAAGUGUUUUGUUUCCAAAAAUAUACGAAAGGAAGAUGAAGGUGUC